GGAUUCAGCGGCGGACGGGUGAGUAAUGCCUAGGAAUCUGCCUGGUAGUGGGGCGAUAACGUCCGGAAACGGGCGCUAAUACCGCAUACGUCCUGAGGGAGAAAGUGGGGGAUCUUCGGACCUCACGCUAUCAGAUGAGCCUAGGUCGGAUUAGCUAGUUGGUGGGGUAAAGGCCUACCAAGGCGACGAUCCGUAACUGGUCUGAGAGGAUGAUCAGUCACACUGGAACUGAGACACGGUCCAGACUCCUACGGGAGGCAGCAGUGGGGAAUAUUGGACAAUGGGCGAAAGCCUGAUCCAGCCAUGCCGCGUGUGAAGAAGGUCUUCGGAUUGUAAAGCACUUUAAGUUGGGAGGAAGGGCAGUAAGUUAAUACCUUGCUGUUUUGACGCUACCAACAGAAUAAGCACCGGCUAACUUCGUGCCAGCAGCCGCGGUAAUACGAAGGGUGCAAGCGUUAAUCGGAAUUACUGGGCGUAAAGCGCGCGUAGGUGGUUCAGCAAGUUGGAUGUGAAAUCCCCGGGCUCAACCUGGGAACUGCAUCCAAAACUACUGAGCUAGAGUACGGUAGAGGGUGGUGGAAUUUCCUGUGUAGCGGUGAAAUGCGUAGAUAUAGGAAGGAACACCAGUGGCGAAGGCGACCACCUGGACUGAUACUGACACUGAGGCACGAAAGCGUGGGGAGCAAACAGGAUUAGAUACCCUGGUAGUCCACGCCCUAAACGAUGCGAACUGGAUGUUGGG
rnacentral:rRNA from 1 species